UGGGGGAUAUUGCACAAUGGGGGAAACCCUGAUGCAGCAACGCCGCGUGAAGGAAGAAGGUCUUCGGAUUGUAAACUUCUGUCUUGUGGGAAGAUAAUGACGGUACCACAGGAGGAAGCAACGGCUAACUACGUGCCAGCAGCCGCGGUAAUACGUAGGUUGCAAGCGUUGUCCGGAUUUACUGGGUGUAAAGGGUGCGUAGGCGGGUACGCUAGUCAGAUGUGAAAGGCCAAGGCUCAACCAUGGUAUUGCAUUUGAAACUGUGUAUCUUGAGUGCAGGAGAGGUAAGCGGAAUUCCCAGUGUAGCGGUGAAAUGCGUAGAUAUUGGGAGGAACACCAGUGGCGAAGGCGGCUUACUGGACUGUAACUGACGCUGAGGCACGAAAGCGUGGGGAUCAAACAGG
rnacentral:rRNA from 2 species